AAAAAAAAAAAUCCAAGAUCACAAUAAUGGAAUCUGAGAUGUCGAAGAAGCUCAAACUCUUCUUCAAUCUCUCCUAAUCCUCCGCCAUUCCUAAUCCUCCGCCGUUCCUAAUCCUCCGCCGUCGAAGAAGUCCUCCGCCGUUCCUAAUCUCUUCAAUCUCUCCUAAUCCUCCGCCGUUCCUAACUCUCCUUCAAUCUCUCGUUUCCGUCGAAGAAGCUCGCAACUCUCUUCAAUCUCUUGUCACGCAUCUCUCCUCUCCGUUGCCAUCGAAGAACCUCAAAAUUACUCGGUUGUUUACCAUCGUUUUCACGAUUCCAAAUAACACAGAUCCACGUCCUUUAAUGGAAGGCGAAGGAAACUCACUUAAAGUACUUGGUUUUAAUCAAAGUCAGAGGAACACUUUCUUUCAAAUUUUAAUGAGGUUUGGCGUCGGUGAUUUUGAUUGGAAGGAGUUUGCUCCACGCAUAAAGCAGAAGACUUGGCACGAAAUCGAAGCGUAAUAAUCUGAUUUUCCGUUAACAUGUCACAUAUUCUAGCACAUAUUCUAAAUCAUUAUGUGCUAGCAAAUUUGAUCUAUCUAUUUUCAACAAGUAUGGAAACCUUUUCAUGUCUCAUAUUGCUGAAGAUAUAAAUGAUUCCCCUACAUUCUCAGAUGGUGUUUCGAAAGAAGGACUUCAAAUAGAAGAUGUACUUGUUAGAAUUGCGGUUCUGCUAUCGAUAAGGGAAAAAGUGAAGUUUGCAUCAGAAAAUCACGGUGGCACACAUAUCUACAAAGUAUAGCUUAUGUAAAAAUCAGGGUGAUUCACUGUGUUUCUGCUAUUUCAGGUUUAGAGCUUUCCAUGUCUAAAGAACAGCACAAAUUUAUCAAAAUGUUUGCAUCAGAAAAUCCCGGCACUCCACUUUUUUCGGAUGACAUCUUGUUACGCUAUGCAGGAGGCUUCAAAGUAAGAAAGACAUGGAAGGAGGAGCAUGAUUUAGCCUUACUGCGCGCAGUUUUGAAGCAUGGAUAUGGAAAGUGGGCAGCUAUAGUUGAUGAUAAGGAUCUGAAUAUUCAGACGCUCAUCUGUCAGGAGUUAAAUAUGCCCUUUAUAAAUUUACCGGUGCGCGGACAAGUUGGCUAAAAACCUUAAGUAUAAAAACUUGAUUUAUGAGGCAGAGGCACCUCACAAUAAGGCAGAGAACCAGAUCAUUGAAGCUGCUAGAGCCGAGGCUGCUGCAACACGUGCAGAUGCUGAUGUUGCUGCGUCAACUGCGAGAACCAGAUCAUUGGAAAUAAAGUUUGAAGAAUUCCAAAGUCGCAUGAUGGCUUUGGAGACGGCCUCCUGUAGUGGUCAUUCUCGUUAGAGUUCUCAUCCUCAUUAUGAUAAUGAAUUGGAUGAUCAAUCGGUUGAUGAAGAGGAAGAUGCUUCAUUUUGUUGGUUGUAGACUUUGUGGGUUAUUUUGAUGGUAAGUUUAAGAACUAUUUUGAUAGGUUAUAUAUUUUGUGGGAUAUUUUGGUGGGUCAUAUAUUUUGUGGGUUGUUAUUUUGAUGGAUGUAGACCUUUUUGUUGACAUUCUAUAUAUAUGGUUAUAUAUGAGAAA